rnacentral:rRNA from 1 species
GACGAACCGUGCGAACGUUGUUCGGAAUUACUGGGCGUAAAGGGCGCGUAGGCGGCCUCUUAAGUCGCACGUGAAAUCCCCGGGCUCAACCCGGGAACUGCGUCCGAUACUGGGGGGCUUGAAUCCGGGAGAGGGAUGUGGAAUUCCAGGUGUAGCGGUGAAAUGCGUAGAUAUCUGGAGGAACACCGGUGGCGAAGGCGGCAUCCUGGACCGGUAUUGACGCUGAGGCGCGAAAGCCAGGGGAGCAAACGGG